rnacentral:rRNA from 1 species
AACGUAGGUGGCGAGCGUUAUCCGGAUUUACUGGGCGUAAAGCGUGCGCAGGCGGUUCGGAAAGAAAGAUGUGAAAUCCCAGGGCUUAACCUUGGAACUGCAUUUUUAACUACCGGGCUAGAGUGUGUCAGAGGGGGGUGGAAUUCCACGUGUAGCAGUGAAAUGCGUAGAUAUCAGGAGGAAUACCGAUGGCGAAGGCAGGUCUCUGGGCUGACACUGACGCUCAUGCACGAAAGCGUGGGGAGCAAACAGG